rnacentral:rRNA from 1 species
GUGUGACUGCGUACCUUUUGUAUAAUGGGUCAGCGACUUAUAUUCUGUAGCAAGGUUAACCGAAUAGGGGAGCCGAAGGGAAACCGAGUCUUAACUGGGCGUUAAGUUGCAGGGUAUAGACCCGAAACCCGGUGAUCUAGCCAUGGGCAGGUUGAAGGUUGGGUAACACUAACUGGAGGACCGAACCGACUAAUGUUGAAAAAUUAGCGGAUGACUUGUGGCUGGGGGUGAAAGGCCAAUCAAACCGGGAGAUAGCUGGUUCUCCCCGAAAGCUAUUUAGGUAGCGCCUCGUGAAUUCAUCUCCGGGGGUAGAGCACUGUUUCGGCAAGGGGGUCAUCCCGACUUACCAACCCGAUGCAAACUGCGAAUACCGGAGAAUGUUAUCACGGGAGACACACGGCGGGUGCUAACGUCCGUCGUGAAGAGGGAAACAACCCAGACCGCCAGCUAAGGUCCCAAAGUCAUGGUUAAGUGGGAAACGAUGUGGGAAGGCCCAGACAGCCAGGAUGUUGGCUUAGAAGCAGCCAUCAUUUAAAGAAAGCGUAAUAGCUCACUGGUCGAGUCGGCCUGCGCGGAAGAUGUAACGGGGCUAAACCAUGCACCGAAGCUGCGGCAGCGACGCUNAUGCUGGAGGUAUCAGAAGUGCGAAUGCUGACAUAAGUAACGAUAAAGCGGGUGAAAAGCCCGCUCGCCGGAAGACCAAGGGUUCCUGUCCAACGUUAAUCGGGGCAGGGUGAGUCGACCCCUAAGGCGAGGCCGAAAGGCGUAGUCGAUGGGAAACAGGUUAAUAUUCCUGUACUUGGUGUUACUGCGAAGGGGGGACGGAGAAGGCUAUGUUGGCCGGGCGACGGUUGUCCCGGUUUAAGCGUGUAGGCUGGUUUUCCAGGCAAAUCCGGAAAAUCAAGGCUGAGGCGUGAUGACGAGGCACUACGGUGCUGAAGCAACAAAUGCCCUGCUUCCAGGAAAAGCCUCUAAGCAUCAGGUAACAUCAAAUCGUACCCCAAACCGACACAGGUGGUCAGGUAGAGAAUACCAAGGCGCUUGAGAGAACUCGGGUGAAGGAACUAGGCAAAAUGGUGCCGUAACUUCGGGAGAAGGCACGCUGAUAUGUAGGUGAAGUCCCUCGCGGAUGGAGCUGAAAUCAGUCGAAGAUACCAGCUGGCUGCAACUGUUUAUUAAAAACACAGCACUGUGCAAACACGAAAGUGGACGUAUACGGUGUGACGCCUGCCCGGUGCCGGAAGGUUAAUUGAUGGGGUUAGCGCAAGCGAAGCUCUUGAUCGAAGCCCCGGUAAACGGCGGCCGUAACUAUAACGGUCCUAAGGUAGCGAAAUUCCUUGUCGGGUAAGUUCCGACCUGCACGAAUGGCGUAAUGAUGGCCAGGCUGUCUCCACCCGAGACUCAGUGAAAUUGAACUCGCUGUGAAGAUGCAGUGUACCCGCGGCAAGACGGAAAGACCCCGUGAACCUUUACUAUAGCUUGACACUGAACAUUGAGCCUUGAUGUGUAGGAUAGGUGGGAGGCUUUGAAGUGUGGACGCCAGUCUGCAUGGAGCCGACCUUGAAAUACCACCCUUUAAUGUUUGAUGUUCUAACGUUGACCCGUAAUCCGGGUUGCGGACAGUGUCUGGUGGGUAGUUUGACUGGGGCGGUCUCCUCCUAAAGAGUAACGGAGGAGCACGAAGGUUGGCUAAUCCUGGUCGGACAUCAGGAGGUUAGUGCAAUGGCAUAAGCCAGCUUGACUGCGAGCGUGACGGCGCGAGCAGGUGCGAAAGCAGGUCAUAGUGAUCCGGUGGUUCUGAAUGGAAGGGCCAUCGCUCAACGGAUAAAAGGUACUCCGGGGAUAACAGGCUGAUACCGCCCAAGAGUUCAUAUCGACGGCGGUGUUUGGCACCUCGAUGUCGGCUCAUCACAUCCUGGGGCUGAAGUAGGUCCCAAGGGUAUGGCUGUUCGCCAUUUAAAGUGGUACGCGAGCUGGGUUUAGAACGUCGUGAGACAGUUCGGUCCCUAUCUGCCGUGGGCGCUGGAGAACUGAGGGGGGCUGCUCCUAGUACGAGAGGACCGGAGUGGACGCAUCACUGGUGUUCGGGUUGUCAUGCCAAUGGCACUGCCCGGUAGCUAAAUGCGGAAGAGAUAAGUGCUGAAAGCAUCUAAGCACGAAACUUGCCCCGAGAUGAGUUCUCCCUGACUCCUUGAGAGUCCUGAAGGAACGUUGAAGACGACGACGUUGAUAGGCCGGGUGUGUAAGCGCAGCGAUGCGUUGAGCUAACCGGUACUAAUGAACCGUGAGGCUUAACCUU